rnacentral:piRNA from 1 species
UCCUUGACUCUUACUUACUAGCCCAAGUAA